rnacentral:rRNA from 1 species
CGCAAGCCUGACGGAGCAAGACCGCGUGCGGGAUGACGGCCUAAUGGUUGUAAACCGCUUUUCUCUGGGAAGAUGAUGACGGUACCAGAGGAGUCAGCCUCGGCUAACUCCGUGCCAGCAGCCGCGGUAAUACGGAGGAGGCAAGCGUUAUCCGGAAUUAUUGGGCGUAAAGCGUCCGUAGGUGGUUAUUCAAGUCUGCUGUCAAAGCGUGGGGCUUAACUCCAUAGAGGCAGUGGAAACUGGAUGACUUGAGUGCGGUAGGGGUCGAGGGAAUUCCCAGUGUAGCGGUGAAAUGCGUAGAUAUUGGGAAGAACACCAGUGGCGAAAGCGCUCGACUGGGCCUGCACUGACACUGAGGGACGAAAGCUAGGGGAGCG